GCAGGGAAUAUUGUGCAAUGGGCGAAAGCCUGACACAGCGACGCCGCGUGGGGGAUGAAGGCCUUCGGGUUGUAAACCCCUUUUCCCAGGGAAGAAUAAUGACGGUACCUGGGGAAUAAGUCACGGCCAACUACGUGCCAGCAGCCGCGGUAAUACGUAGGUGGCAAGCGUUACCCGGAUUUAUUGGGCGUAAAGAGGGCGCAGGCGGCUCUACAAGUUGGGUGUGAAAUCUUUCGGCUUAACCGGGAGGGGUCAUCCAAUACUGUAGAGCUAGAGGGCAGCAGAGGGAGGUGGAAUUCCCGGUGUAGUGGUGAAAUGCGUAGAUAUCGGGAGGAACACCAGUGGCGAAGGCGGCCUCCUGGGCUGUGCCUGACGCUUAAGCCCGAAAGCGUGGGGAGCAAACAGGAUUAGAUACCCGGGUAGUCC
rnacentral:rRNA from 1 species